rnacentral:rRNA from 1 species
AUUGAACGCUGGCGGCAGGCUUAACACAUGCAAGUCGAGCGGAGAUGAGGUGCUUGCACCUUAUCUUAGCGGCGGACGGGUGAGUAAUGCUUAGGAAUCUGCCUAUUAGUGGGGGACGACAUUCCGAAAGGAAUGCUAAUACCGCAUACGUCCUACGGGAGAAAGCAGGGGAUCUUCGGACCUUGCGCUAAUAGAUGAGCCUAAGUCGGAUUAGCUAGUUGGUGGGGUAAAGGCCUACCAAGGCGACGAUCCGUAGCGGGUCUGAGAGGAUGAUCCGCCACACUGGGACUGAGACACGGCCCAGACUCCUACGGGAGGCAGCAGUGGGGAAUAUUGGACAAUGGGGGGAACCCUGAUCCAGCCAUGCCGCGUGUGUGAAGAAGGCCUUAUGGUUGUAAAGCACUUUAAGCGAGGAGGAGGCUACUGAGACUAAUACUCUUGGAUAGUGGACGUUACUCGCAGAAUAAGCACCGGCUAACUCUGUGCCAGCAGCCGCCGUAA